CCUACGAGAGGCAGCAGUGGGGAAUAUUGGGCAAUGGGCGCAAGCCUGACCCAGCAACGCCGCGUGAAGGAAGAAGGCUUUCGGGUUGUAAACUUCUUUUCUCAGGGACGAAGAAAGUGACGGUACCGGAGGAAUAAGCCACGGCUAACUACGUGCCAGCAGCCGCGGUAAUACGUAGGUGGCAAGCGUUAUCCGGAUUUAUUGGGUGUAAAGGGCGUGUAGGCGGGAGCGCAAGUCAGAUGUGAAAACUCAGGGCUCAACCCUGAGCCUGCAUUUGAAACUGUGUUUCUUGAGUGCUGGAGAGGCAAUCGGAAUUCCGUGUGUAGCGGUGAAAUGCGGAGAUAUACGGAGGAACACCAGUGGCGAAGGCGGAUUGCUGGACAGUAACUGACGCUGAGGCGUGAAAGCGUGGGGAGCAAACAGGAUUAGAUACCCUUGUAGUC
rnacentral:rRNA from 1 species